rnacentral:rRNA from 1 species
UACGGGAGGAGCAGUGGGGAAUAUUGCACAAUGGGCGAAAGCCUGAUGCAGCUAUGCCGCGUGUAUGAAGAAGGCCUUAGGGUUGUAAAGUACUUUCAUCGGGGAGGAAAAACAAAACUAAUAAUUUUAUUUCUUGACGUUACCCGAAAAAGAAGCACCGGCUAACUCCGUGCCAGCAGCCGCGGUAAUACGGAGGGUGCUAGCGUUAAUCAGAAUUACUGGGCGUAAAAGAGCACGUAGGUGGUUUUUUUAAGUCAGAUGUGAAAUCCCUGGGCUUAACCUGGAAACUGCAUUUUGAAACUGAAAUACUAGAGUAUCGUAGAGGGAGGUAGAAUUCUAGGUGUAGCGGUGAAAUGCGUAGAUAUCUGGAGGAAUACCUGUGGCGAAAGCGGCCUCCUAAACGAAUACUGACACUGAGGGUGCGAAAAGCGUGGGGAGCGAAACAGGGAUUAGAUACC